CCCAAGUUUAACUACAAGCAUUUCCUGAUCUACCGAAGACGGGCAGAAAAAAGGAAAAAUGUCGACUUGAGAAAAGCACAGCUUCCAAUCCCCACCCACCAGCUUCAGUCAAAGGGAUGACUUCAGUCCCUUUCUUAACUAAUCCUGUCACUGUAAAAUCCUACAGUCAUUCUUCCACACAUAAAGGGAAAACGGACUCACUAGGAGGACCUAGACUCUUUCAGCUUGAACUGUUAACCAAUGGUGGAAAUGCAAGAAUGCUGAAGUUGUGCCUUCAGAGCCAAUAGAGUGGAUUUGUGUGUCCCACAUGACUGUGUUUCCCCUGUCUUUCACAUGGGCAGUAUUUAGUUCAAUUCAGAACUGCAGAUAGUAUAGCACGCAGAGCAGCAAUGGGAUGUCUGAGCACAAGUGGCUGACUUCCAGGCGACUUCAAGAAGCACAUUUGCACAUUUAUCCUGAAUUAAACUGGAAUUCUGCACCCUUGACAUCCUCCUACUCUCCUGGUGUCUGCGGAAGGAAACAGCGACCUGCACAGCACAACAAAACUACAAAUCAUCAGUGAUCUACAGACAAGCAAACGAAGUGAGCUGAGGGCAAUUUAACUACCGCCUUCUGUGUCAGUUCCCCAGAAGUCAAUGAGGCAUACUAUCGGGUCUCCAAGAAAGACAUGUGAGAAGCUGCCAGCUCCAUGCAUGAAGAAGGAAAUGGGAUAGACAGAGAAGGGUGCUGGUACUGACAUUUAAGGAUGCUGUCAAGUCAAUGGAGUUCUCUUGUAGUGGUUGCUUCAGUGAACAUUCAACGCUGUCGGCCUUCACACCGAAGAUAGAAACCUAACCAGCACAUGAGGUUUCUCCCCUACUCUGCCACGCUUUACAAAAAAGGUCACAAUCAACAUUCAUUGCUGUCGGUGGGUUUAACUAUGUGGACAAGCUCACUGAACAAUGAAUGCAACUGUGGCCCCACAUUUUACAGGUGCAUUUGGGAGGAAUGUCAGCUCUGAAAGGAAUAGUGAGAAACAGACAUUUCUUAUAGGUUACGUUUUUCUGGUCAAAAAUUUGUUAAGGAUAUUCAAUUAACUCUUCUUUGUUAUUAAAUGUAUUUAACUAUGUUGACUAAAAAAAAAAAGCACUGCAUUUUUCUGGAAUAUCACCCUCACAGGGUUCAGCACCUCUGAAACUGAAAUAAUGCUUGUUCAGUAUGUAUGUGGAAAAAAGUAAUAAUAUAGAGAACUUGGUAUAUAUGUACUCCUCAGGACUACGCAUAAGAGGAAAGAGUAUUUAAAUGUUAAAUCUUAAUUAACUAGGUAUUAUGGAAUAGUUUACAGAAGUCUCUUCUAUACUUGUCAAGACAAAACCAGAACUUUUCUAGUGGACAGGUAACAGAAAUAGAUGUAUACCCACUAUCAAAUAGUUAAAUCGUAAAAUUACUCUAAACUUCGGUACUUGUGUCACACUCAGUAUUGCUAACACUAAUGAAAAAAUAAAAGUGUAAUUAAAGCUCACUGUUCUGUCCUUAUUUUCUUACAACCUUUGUUUAACCCAGCUGGAAAAAACAGAGCCCAGCCUACAUUUCUACCUUUCAGAAGUCAUCCAAGGUAAGUGCAAGCCUUCACACAGCACAGUUUCAAUAUUCCGCAGUAGAGUUGCUUCUAACAUUUAGGAAAUCACACGACGUUCCUAGUUUCUCCUGAUAGACCCUCUUAAAAGCUGGGGUCUGUUAACAAUACUUCAGUUUGAUUAUCUACACAGUAACUGGAAUAGGAUACAACCAUCAGGGCUAUCAUGGGAGGAAACAUCUGUACCUGCUUUGUGAACCGUAUAUUAACAGCCUAGCUAAAUAAUAACAGUUUAAGUAAUCAAAGAGAUCAGUCCUCAAUCACAUGCAAGAUUAUAUUUGAAUAACUGAAUUUUUAAUGAAAAGAGAGGCACACUACUGAAUUAAAAUCAAUGGCUGAAAGAAGUGCGUUGUUUUUUUCAUUCUGAUAUUUACUACCAAAUAAUCUACAGAAUGUACUGAGGCCAGGGGCAGCAGUUAAGUACUAAUAGGAGGAGUGGCUAUGGAUACGUGACUUCUCAGCGACACUGCAUAGAGAACCCUAGGUUCUAUCUUAAAGUUCACUCGUUUCUACACAGCAAUGAGUACUUGAAUAACUAUCAAAUUAUAUAUAUGGAUCACAAUACAAGCAAGUUAUAUAUUCUAUCUAGAAGGACAAACUUACAUGUUCAGUUGCAGCUACUUCAUACUUGCCUAAUUUCUGCAUUUAUUACUUUUACUAACGUGACUUAAUUGUGUUAUGCAUUAAUAAACACUGAAGAUGUUACUGAAGUUUGUGGAAUUAAGCAGCAGUGGAAAGAACCAGCAUCCUAGCAUGUUAUCACCUUCAAGCACAACAGAAGAAAAUACAAAAAUAAACCAUACUGCAACUGAUAAUGGUUGAACAAUACAAUUGUUGUAGGGACACAGGAUCCAGUGCAAGAAAAAGGUUAGUUAUAGGGUAGGGGGGAAGGUGAGGGGUUGAUGGCACUCUCUCAAAAUGCACAGAUGUUUUACCUUUUAGAAAAUAUCUACAGUAAUAUUGUUGCCUUGCGUAAGUUGUGUCAGUGAUUUUAAUCAUAGAAUCGCUAAGGUUGGAAAAGACCCACAGGAUCAUCCAGUCCAACCAUUCGCCCUUCACCAAUGGUUCUCACUAAACCAUGUCCCUCAACACAACAUCCAAUCACUCUUUGAACACCACCAGGGUCGGUGACUCCACCACCUCUCUGGGCAGCCCAUUCCAGUGCCUGACCACCCUUUCAGAGAAGUAGUAUUUCCUAACGUCCAGCCUGAACCUUCCAUGGCGCAGCUUAAAGCCAUUGAAGCCAUAAUCACGCUUUCAUAUCAAGAUUAAGAAUCUCCAUAGUGUACAAAUACACAUUAUUUCAUACAGUUUGAUAAUUUUAUAUCUCCAUUAAUUUACAGGAUGCUCAUGGGCAAAGCAAUACCACACCUGAUAAGAGAGACUGCUUUUCACACACAUCCUUUACAUAAUGAAGCAAAAGUGAUCCCCAUUCAGCAACAGUAGCUGUGAAACUGAAGUUCCUUGGUCAUUUUCAGGGUUGUUAGUUUUUUUUUUUGUUGUUGUUGUUGUUAAUAUGAUACAUCCAUGCUCAAUACAGUAUCCGUGGGCUACAGAGACCUUCCAGAAAAUUGCUCCUUGGUAUCACUGUAAAUAAUUCACUCACAACAAUAUUUUUAGGUCAAGCAUAUCAAAAUUACAGGAAAUGUAAUGGACCUUGACAUAAUAGGAGCACUAGUUUCAAAGCAGUGAAGGAGGAGGAGAAGGAACAUACUUUCCACACACAGCUCAGUCACAGUUUCCCAGUGUCCACAAUACUGUGCUUGAAACAGGAGAGGCAGUACCAAGUGGUUGCUGCUAAGUUUGGAGUCACUGAGGUUUUACUUAACUCCAGACAUAGUUCUGUUUUUCCUGACUUCUGGAGCAAAAUGGGUGAAAGCAGUUCAGAUCCAGCAGUUUCUGCGUCAAGCCUCUAACUCCUGUUUACCAAGCACAGAAAGACAUUCCACCUUACCUUUCAAACUACAACACAAUGAAUACCUAUGAAAACCAUACGUGAUUCAGGACUACAGCAAAAUGAAAACAUUACACUGUCCAGAGCAGACUAAAAACACCACAAUAACAUUUCUUGCUUUACAGAUGGUAAAGAGAAGAAAUACAGUAGAAGUUAAAUAUAGAAAUAGUUUGUAUCUGUAUGUAGUAGUCUGAACUGGAAGUAGUAUCUAGAUCUUGCAUUCGAGCCAUGCGUCUUACACUGGAAGAAGGAGUAUUGUAAUUUUGACAUGAAAACCGUAUUUUCCUUCUUGCUGAUCGCCCCUUUUUCCUAAUCAAAUGAUAUUUAUUUUUUCUCUCUAGAGUUAUCAUCCACUCCAGAUUAAUAUCUGUAUCUUGCCCUCACUUUCUUCUAUUCUUCUGUAUAAUUCUCUUAACUUCUUCAAAAAAAAAUUAGUCUUCCUGAGCUUCCUCUUUUAGCACAAGUGCCAGAAAUGCAGACUGUGUUCCAAAUAGCCCAGCCAAAGCUAGCUGAAGUAGUCUGAUGUCUCCCUAUUUUACAAGGAACUGCUGAUCAUUUUCAGCCAAAAAUAGCAUUUGUAAUGGCACCACACAGUUAACACAUUUAAAUUUAUCUAACUUUAUUCCACAGAUAUAUUAGUGUCCACAAGUUUUUUCCUAAUUUGAAGUAGGUUAUUUCAUCCCCCUGAAAUGCAACACUUGCCAUUUUUUUUUUAUCUAUUACGUAAUUUCUGCAACAUCCAUUGAUUACAGCAUCGUGGUCAUAUUUUCACAGGAAUUAAUUAGAGACUUCUUGUAGGUUUACAUCUGAAAAAAAUACAUCUGAAAAAAUAUAAGGAAAGAUCCAGGGGUAGGAGCUCCAACCCACAGAAGCCAUGAAUUACAACAGAAAUUUUGUCUAUACUUGACAAGUAAAUCAGAACUGAAUCCCCUAGCUCUGCAGCCAGAGCCAGAACACGCAUAUACAACACAUAGACUUUUCCUGGUUUUGUUCCAUGAGAUACAGUAGCGCCCAAGCUAGCCCUAGUAUUUUUUUUAUUGUUUUAAUAAAAGAAUUACCUAUCAAGUUUGUAAAUAGGCUAUCAUGAGACCUGAAAGUGUAACUUAUUGUGCAGUGUUUUUUUGUUUGUUUGUUUUCAUUAUUCUCUAUUAGAAAUGUUACUCUAGGUCUUGACAAUGAAAAGACAAGUCCAAAACGGACCAGAUACCGCAGUUGUAUGAUACCACAGUUCAGAACAGAACUGGCAAAGAGGCAAGGUACCUGGAAAAUAGCAUUCUCUUGGCCAUUAAGAUAGGAGAACUUGCACUCAAAAUAAACUGCAGUAUAUAUACGCUAUUUAAACUGUGAUAUCACCUGUAAUUAAUGGCAAGCUACUGCAAUAAUCACAUGCUAUUAAGCUAUUUGAUUGCCUGGAAAUGCUAUUUAGUAAUUAAACAGUUAAAAUACUUUAUCAUAGACUUUUUGAAACACUGAAGCAAAAAAAAAGAUACACAAAUAUUAAUUUUAGCUAGCAGGAGAUGAGUCCAGGUGGUUGCCCUCUAAAGUCAACAUCACCAUCUGAUGUGUAAAACACUCCUAAUUAACAUAAAGUACACCCUGUGCUAAUUAUUGUGCUCGCCUCCAAAUAAUGAGCCAUAACAAGCCUAGAGUUCAAGAUGAUAUAUUUACAUUUAAAUGCCAUGCACUUCACCAUCCUGUAUCAAUAUGGCCCUGGUUAACACACUGACAAAAAAAUGAAAUUACUGCCCCCACCGCCCUGCAGACUAGGGAAGCACAAACAGCUAAACAGAUACUAGAACUAAAAGAACUUUCAGACAGACCUUCAGGUUGUAAUUGUGGAAGGCAACAGGGAAAAGCAGUGCUUCAAAGAUAGUGGCCAGCUGUGGUCUACAGAACAUCGUAAGCAAAGUGGAGUCUCUUCAGGAAGAUAUCCAUACAUCUCCAAAACAAUUUCGGGAGAAUAUUCCAGAAGUUCACAUGGAUUGUGGUUUGCUAACUAGUGAAUUCAGGUUCUCCGCUGGUUUUAGUCAGCAUACUUUUGAUUUCAGUGGAAUUACACCACUAUAUACAGUGUGAGGGUUUGACAAACAAACAUGCAAGGGAUAUAAAAGCAGCACAGUCCUGCACAUCCUACACUAGAAAUGCAGUCAGAGGUAAAAGUCACUCUUUGGAAGAAGGGAGGGAAGCAAAAGAACAGAUAUUUGAAAAGCAAUCACUCCUACCUACAGAAAGAGCAUUUCUACCUGCUGUGGGUGGUCGUGGACACAGCACUCGGACACCUAACUCCUCCAUUCUUGCAGGUUACAGUUUUGCAGGUACAAAUACAGAAUUUCAAAACACAACAUGCAUAGAGUAUUUUGGGGCAGAAAUAUAACACCCACGUUAUGAUAAUUUGGCCUUUGCCACCACAUGACGGUCUCCUUCACUUCAUGUAUCUUGAGGUACGUGGGUGGCAAAGAACUGACAGCAUAUUUUUGUCUAAAGAUGGCUCCCACAGCACGAGUGUACAUACUGGAAGCAAUGGCAGUUUGUUUCCUUCCUCCCUUAACACUGUGCUCUUUACUUGAGUUUCCAUCAUUUCUAUACAGAGCUAGUAACACUAAACCAUUCACCGAGGAGAGGGUUAAAAAAAGCCAAAGCAAAAAAAAAAAAAAAAAAUCACCGAGUCUUCAAAUUAUUCUCUGUCACAAUAUCCAGAUUUUAUGAAUCCUGAACCAUCUCCUCAGGGUGCCUAGCAGCACCUUUCUCUGGCCUAGAACUAAGCUCUGACUUCAGAUUUGUAUCAGCCUUUACAAGAGACGAUCAUUUUCAGCAAAGUUUCAGGCACUGCAGAUUUAUGUACAAAGACUUCUAACUGCUGCCUGGAUGUGCCUUCUGGAACCAGAAAACACACAUCAAGAGUAAGAUGAGCAAGCCACAGGUUUGUUCAAAUGAAUACCAAAAACUGACUGUUAAGAGUCAAUUAAAAAAAAAUACUGAAAAUAUUGAACUUUUCUCUGCUUCCUCUGUAUUGCUAUUCCAACUAGAUCCUACACCACCCAUCCUAUCAACAUCUUCAUGGAUGCACACAGGUAGCUAAGACACUCCAUAUCUUAAAAAGAAAACCUAGAGGUUUUCUUUCUCCUUAAAGAGACUUAUCUGUGUGGAAACCUCACUUCUUUAAACCUUGUACUGAGAUUCUGGGGAGUGCUACUGCAUCUAUUGCUAAUAAUCCAAGCCUGUGGCAUGCAUACCCACAAGGGUAUUUUUAGCUAGAUUCUAGGUGCAUACCUUUGCAACUGAUUUCGAGUUCCAUUAACAUCUAGAACUAGUGGCUCUUCUCUACUUUGAUGAGGAAAAUAAACUAUGUUCCAGCUGAAAGCGGGACUUGGAUCCCCAAAUCAAUAAGACUACAUUAGUAGUUUGUCACAUUGGAGCCCAUAGGGCACUUGUGCUCACUAUUCUCCAAACAAGAUGAAGUUUUAACAGGCUCACCUAAUUUGUUGAGCAAUAUAGUUGGAAUCCCUGCAUUGUGAAUAAAAGAAACUGGUAGGUUGCUAGGCUGAUGACAGGUCGUACAGCCUUUUCUUGACAGAAGAUACAACAGUCAACAGUGUACAACUGAACCUGUACAGAGCCUGUACAGCCUGUUACAGAGCCUGUAACUUCCAAGCACAAAACACCGCAAUAUGUGCUUAAAAGCACAAAAAGGGUUUAUGUUCACUUCUAAAUUGUUGGCUGCUACAUGUUGUCAUCUCUUUUUAAAGGUUGCUCACUAGCUGCAUUCCAAGUUUUCACAUAUGUAUGAUUUCCUUCAGCUACAAGUGUAAAUUUGCAAGCAAUGGGAACAUGAGUGCAGUCACUGUCUGAUGGAAUCUGCAUAGAAGGUAAAGCUGUCACCAGAUGGCAUUUCUGAGUUUUGUGCAGCCAGAUAUUCAAAAGCAGCAUCUGAAUUCUGGAUGCUACACUGUUGUUUUUGUGGGGUUUUUUUGUUUGUUUGUUGUUGUUUUAAUUUAUUGUGGAUACUCUGAAUCAGCAUCUGCUCCUGCAAUUAUC
rnacentral:lncRNA from 1 species